UACGUAGGGGGCUAGCGUUGUCCGGAAUCAUUGGGCGUAAAGCGCGUGUAGGCGGUCCGGUAAGUCCGCUGUGAAAGUCGGGGGCUCAACCCUCGGAUGCCGGUGGAUACUGUCGGGCUUGAGUACGGAAGAGGCGAGUGGAAUUCCCAGUGUAGCGGUGAAAUGCGUAGAUAUUGGGAAGAACACCUGAGGCGAAGGCGGGUUGCUGGGCUGAUACUGACGCUGAGGCGCGAAAGCCAGGGGAGCAAACGGG
rnacentral:rRNA from 1 species